rnacentral:rRNA from 1 species
GACGAAGGAUGCAAGCGUUAUCCGGAUUCAUUGGGUUUAAAGGGAGCGUAGGUGGCCUUAUAAGUCAGUGGUGAAAUCUCUGGGCUUAACCCAGAAAUUGCCAUUGAUACUGUAGGGCUUGAGUAUAGUUGCCGUUGGCGGAAUAUGACAUGUAGUGGUGAAAUACAUAGAGAUGUCAUAGAACACCGAUUGCGAAGGCAGCUGACGAAACUAUAACUGACACUGAGGCUCGAAAGUGUGGGGAUCAAACAGG